CAUGGGGUCUUGCUAUGUUGCCUGGGUUGAUCACAAGGCUCAGGCAAUUCUCCUGCCUCAGCCACCCAAAGUACUGGGAUUACAGUGUGAGCCACUGCGCCUGGCCAGGUCAUCCCUAUAAAAUGUAGACUGGAUCACAUCACUCUGCUCAGAACUCUGCAGUGACUUCCAUUUAAAUCAACAGAAGGAGCCAAAAUCCUUAAGAUCAUCUAAAAGGCCCUUCCCAAUCCAGACCCUGCUUUACUUCUCUUUUCACCUUUCCAACAUCUCUUGCUCACUCAUGCUACUCCAGCCACAUUUGCCUCCUUCCUGUUUGUUUCCCAUGUAUGUCCAUACACUCCCGCCAUAGGGCUUUAUUCCAGCUGUUUCUUCUGCUGGAAAGGCCCUUCUCCUGGAAAUCCAUGUGGCCAAAACUAAUCUUCUUCAGUGAUUUGCUUGAAUUUCACUUUACUGAGGUCUCAUUUGGUACUAAAAUCUGUUCUCCUGAUACUUUUAAACUUAAUCUAUAUUUUCUUUUAUCCAUAGCAUCAUCUCCCCUGCUAGAAAUGUAAUCAUAGGUCUUUAUUUUAUUCAGUAGUAACCCAAGAGCCUAGAAGAGUAUUGGGCACAUACUACAUAUUCAAUAAAUUAUGUGUUGAACAGAUGCAUCAAUGAGGCAGACUUAGCUUGCUGAUGGACUGAUUAGGGGCGGAGGAAUAGAGAAAGACGAUGACCUUUCAGUUUUGGCCUAAAUAACUGAAUGACAUGUGGUGCAAUUUCAUGAUGGGGAAGCCUGGAAGAGACACAGGCUUUAGCAGUAAAAACAAGAGCUUCAUUUUGUACAUAUCAGAGAUAUUUAUUAAAGAUCGCAGAGAAGAUGUCCAGUAAACAGUUGAAUUCAUGAGCCUGGAGCUCGGGUCAGAAGUUGGGGGCCAGCGAGAAAACUUUGGGAAUCUUCAUUGGUUAUAGAUGGUAUUUAAAGUCAGGAGGUGAUAGGUGGUAAGUCGAGAUUAAAGACAGUGUCAAAGAUUGAGGCCUGAGGCACUUCAACAUUUAGACUUCAGGAGGAGAAACCCAUUAGACACAAAGGAAACCUGUGGAGAGUAGUGUCCCUGAAGAAAACAGAGGGAGUGAGAGACCAAGUGUAUCACAUGUUAUUGGGAGAGUGAGUAGGAUGGCCCCAGAUCUGUUGACUUUGGCAAGUGUAAAUUCGGGGAGUAGGAACAAAAGUAUAGUGAUUU